AGUGAACGCUGGCGGUAGGCCUAACACAUGCAAGUCGAACGGCAGCACAGUAAGAGCUUGCUCUUACGGGUGGCGAGUGGCGGACGGGUGAGGAAUACAUCGGAAUCUACUUUUUCGUGGGGGAUAACGUAGGGAAACUUACGCUAAUACCGCAUACGACCUACGGGUGAAAGCAGGGGAUCUUCGGACCUUGCGCGAUUGAAUGAGCCGAUGUCGGAUUAGCUAGUUGGCGGGGUAAAGGCCCACCAAGGCGACGAUCCGUAGCUGGUCUGAGAGGAUGAUCAGCCACACUGGAACUGAGACACGGUCCAGACUCCUAGGGGAGGCCGCAGGGGGGAAUAUUGGAAAAUGGGCGAAAGCCUGAUCCCGCCAGACCGGGGGGGUGAAGAAGGCCUUCGGGUUGUAAAGCCCUUUUUUUGGGAAAAAAAAGCAGCAGGUUAAUACCCCGCUGUUCUGGCGGUACCAAAAGAAUAAGCCCCGGCUAACUUCGG
rnacentral:rRNA from 1 species